rnacentral:rRNA from 1 species
AACAAAACUAUCCGCCAGAGAACUACUAGCAACAGCUUAAAACUCAAAGGACUUGGCGGUGCUUUAUAUCCCUCUAGAGGAGCCUGUUCCAUAAUCGAUAAACCCCGAUAAACCUCACCAUCUCUUGCUAAUUCAGCCUAUAUACCGCCAUCUUCAGCAAACCCUAAAAAGGAAGAAAAGUAAGCACAAGUAUCUUAACAUAAAAAAGUUAGGUCAAGGUGUAGCCCAUGAGAUGGGGAAGUAAUGGGCUACAUUUUCUACAACUAGAACAUCCACGAAAAUCCUUAUGAAAUUAAGUAUUAAAGGAGGAUUUAGUAGUAAAUUC